rnacentral:rRNA from 1 species
CCUACGGGAGGCAGCAGUGAGGAAUAUUGGUCAAUGGGCGCGAGCCUGAACCAGCCAAGUCGCGUGAGGGAUGACGGCCCUACGGGUUGUAAACCUCUUUUGCCGGGGAGCAACGCGCGCCACGUGUGGCGCCACUGAGAGUACCCGGAGAAAAAGCAUCGGCUAACUCCGUGCCAGCAGCCGCGGUAAUACGGAGGAUGCGAGCGUUAUCCGGAUUUAUUGGGUUUAAAGGGUGCGUAGGCGGAUCGUUAAGUCAGCGGUCAAAUGUCGGGGCUCAACCCGUGCCGGCCAUUGAAACUGGGGAUCUUGAGUGGAAGAGAAGUAUGCGGAAUGCGUGGUGUAGCGGUGAAAUGCAUAGAUAUCACGCAGAACCCCGAUUGCGAAGGCAGCAUGCCGGCUUCCGACUGACGCUGAGGCACGAAAGCGUGGGGAUCGAACAGGAUUAGAUACCCUGGUAGUC